rnacentral:rRNA from 1 species
UACGUAGGGUGCAAGCGUUGUCCGGAAUUAUUGGGCGUAAAGAGCUCGUAGGCGGUUUGUCGCGUCGGCUGUGAAAACUCGGGGCUCAACCCCGAGCCUGCAGUCGAUACGGGCAGACUAGAGUGCGGUAGGGGAGACUGGAAUUCCUGGUGUAGCGGUGAAAUGCGCAGAUAUCAGGAGGAACACCGGUGGCGAAGGCGGGUCUCUGGGCCGUAACUGACGCUGAGGUGCGAAAGCGUGGGGAGCAAACAGG